rnacentral:rRNA from 1 species
AACGAACGCUGGCGGCAUGCCUAACACAUGCAAGUCGAACGAGACCUUCGGGUCUAGGGGCGCACGGGUGCGUAACGCGUGGGAACCUGCCCUUAGGUUCGGAAUAACUCCCCGAAAGGGGUGCUAAUACCGGAUAAUGUCUUCGGACCAAAGAUUUAUCGCCUUUGGUUGGGCCCGCGUUGGAUUAGCUAGUUGGUAGGGUAAAAGCCUACCAAGGCGACGAUCCAUAGCUGGUCUGAGAGGAUGAUCAGCCACACUGGGACUGAGACACGGCCCAGACUCCUACGGGAUGCAGCAGUGGGGAAUAUUGGACAAUGGGCGAAAGCCUGAUCCAGCAAUGCCGCGUGAGUGAUGAAGGCCUUAGGGUUGUAAAGCUCUUUUACCCGGGAUGAUAAUGACAGUACCGGGAGAAUAAGCUCCGGCUAACUCCGUG